AACGAACGCUGGCGGCAUGCCUAACACAUGCAAGUCGAACGAGACCUCUGUGUCUAGUGGCGCACGGGUGCGUAACGCGUGGGAAUCUGCCCUUGGGUUCGGAAUAACAGUGUUAAAUUGCUGCUAAUACCGGAUGAUGUCUUCGGACCAAAGAUUUAUCGCCCAGGGAUGAGCCCGCGUAGGAUUAGCUAGUUGGUGGGGUAAUGGCCUACCAAGGCGACGAUCCUUAGCUGGUCUGAGUGGAUGAUCCGCCACACUGGGACUAAGACACGGCCCAGACUCCUAGGGAAGGGAGGAGUGGAUAAUAUAGGACGAUGGGCGCAAGCCUGAUCCAGCAAUGCCGGGUGAGUGAUGCAGGCGUUAGGGAUGUAAAGCUGUUUUACCAGGGAUGAUAAUGACAGUACCUGGAGAAUAAGCACCGGCUAACUCCGUG
rnacentral:rRNA from 1 species